UACGUAGGGUGCGAGCGUUGUCCGGAAUUAUUGGGCGUAAAGAGCUCGUGGGCGGUGUGUCGCGUCGGCCGUGAAAACCUGCAGCUUAACUGUGGGCUUGCGGUCGAUACGGGCAUCACUGGAGUUCGGCAGGGGAGACUGGAAUUCCUGGUGUAGCGGUGAAAUGCGCAGAUAUCAGGAGGAACACCGGUGGCGAAGGCGGGUCUCUGGGCCGAUACUGACGCUGAGGAGCGAAAGCGUGGGGAGCGAACAGG
rnacentral:rRNA from 1 species